rnacentral:rRNA from 1 species
GGAAUAUUGCACAAUGGGGGAAACCCUGAUGCAGCGACGCCGCGUGGGUGACGAAGUAUUUCGGUAUGUAAAGCCCUAUCAGCCGGGAAGAAGAUGACAGUACCUGACCAAGAAGCCCCGGCUAACUACGUGCCAGCAGCCGCGGUAAUACGUAGGGGGCAAGCGUUUCCGGAUUUACUGGGUGUAAAGGGAGCGUAGGUGGCAUGGCAAGCCAGAAGUGAAAACCCGGGGCUUAACCCCGCGGAUUGCUUUGGAAACUGUGCAGCUAGAGUGCAGGAGAGGUAAGUGGAAUUCCUAGUGUAGCGGUGAAAUGCGUAGAUAUUAGGAGGAACACCAGUGGCGAAGGCGGCUUACUGGACUGUAACUGACGUUGAGGCUCGAAAGCGUGGGGAGCAAACAG